rnacentral:rRNA from 1 species
AACGAACGCUGGCGGCAGGCCUAACACAUGCAAGUCGAACGAGAACUCUCCUUCGGGAGAGGGACAGUGGCAGACGGGUGAGUAACGCGUGGGAAUCUACCCUAAGGUUUGGGACAACCAUUAGAAAUGAUGGCUAAUACCGAAUGUGACUAGUGUCUUUAGCGGAUGCUAGAGAAAGAUUUAUCGCCUUGGGAUGAGCCCGCGUCAGAUUAGUUUGUUGGUGAGGUAACGGCUCACCAAGACCGCGAUCUGUAGCUGGUCUGAGAGGAUGAUCAGCCACAUUGGGACUGAGACACGGCCCAGACUCCUACGGGAGGCAGCAGUGGGGAAUAUUGCACAAUGGACGCAAGUCUGAUGCAGCCAUGCCGCGUGA